UGGGGAAUUUUGGACAAUGGGCGAAAGCCUGAUCCAGCCAUUCCGCGUGAGUGAAGAAGGCCUUCGGGUUGUAAAGCUCUUUCGCAAGGGAAGAAACGAUGCAGUCGAAUAAACUGUGUUAAUGACGGUACCUUGAUAAGAAGCACCGGCUAACUACGUGCCAGCAGCCGCGGUAAUACGUAGGGUGCGAGCGUUAAUCGGAAUUACUGGGCGUAAAGCGUGCGCAGGCGGUUUUGUAAGUCAGAUGUGAAAUCCCCGAGCUCAACUUGGGAACUGCGUUUGAAACUACAAGACUAGAAUAUGUCAGAGGGGGGUAGAAUUCCACGUGUAGCAGUGAAAUGCGUAGAGAUGUGGAGGAAUACCAAUGGCGAAGGCAGCCCCCUGGGAUAAUAUUGACGCUCAUGCACGAAAGCGUGGGGAGCAAACA
rnacentral:rRNA from 1 species